GCUAAUCGGCAGUUAUAAGAAAGAGAGAGGGGGAGAGGAAGAAUCAGACGAACAAAGAAGAGCAAAGCUUUCUCUAGGUUGAGAGGAGCGAAGAAGAAAAGAAGUUGAAAUGGGAAACCAGGACAACGUGGCGCGCGUCAGGAUCGCAGGCGGAUACGAAGAAAUCCUCGGAAAGUGUCGACUGAAAGAGUGGCUGUUUUAGAAACGCCACGAAGUGCCAGGAGUCGUCGACAUGGCACAAUGAGAGAGAAAGAGAUCCUCAGACGACAGACAAUUUCGCUGCCGAGUUUACGGAAUCCGGCAAAGAAUCCGCUGCACUGCACCGAUCAAAUGUACAAGCGUGAUCGAGUUCAUCACAACUUCUCCAAGAAACUAUGGAAUCAUCUGACAAAGAAGAUUGAUGGUAAGAAUUCCUCGAAACUACUACAACUUAUUUUCAUUGAUCUGACCUUUACCUGAGAUGUAAAGUGCACGUUAUAUUCCACAUGAGGAAUUAUUUUAUUUCAAGAUUUGUCACUUGAAUUUAAAAAAAUAAAAAAACCAUUUAUAUUG
rnacentral:misc_RNA from 1 species